rnacentral:rRNA from 1 species
GUCGAGCGGAUGAAGGGAGCUUGCUCUCUGAUUCAGCGGCGGACGGGUGAGUAAUGCCUAGGAAUCUGCCUGGUAGUGGGGGAUAACGUUCCGAAAGGAACGCUAAUACCGCAUACGUCCUACGGGAGAAAGCGGGGGAUCUUCGGACCUCGCGCUAUCAGAUGAGCCUAGGUCGGAUUAGCUAGUUGGUGAGGUAAUGGCUCACCAAGGCGACGAUCCGUAACUGGUCUGAGAGGAUGAUCAGUCACACUGGAACUGAGACACGGUCCAGACUCCUACGGGAGGCAGCAGUGGGGAAUAUUGGACAAUGGGCGAAAGCCUGAUCCAGCCAUGCCGCGUGUGUGAAGAAGGUCUUCGGAUUGUAAAGCACUUUAAGUUGGGAGGAAGGGUAUUCACCUAAUACGUGAGUAUUUUGACGUUACCGACAGAAUAAGCACCGGCUAACUUCGUGCCAGCAGCCGCGGUAAUACGAAGGGUGCAAGCGUUAAUCGGAAUUACUGGGCGUAAAGCGCGCGUAGGUGGUUCGUUAAGUUGGAUGUGAAAGCCCCGGGCUCAACCUGGGAACUGCAUCCAAAACUGGCGAGCUAGAGUACGGUAGAGGGUGGUGGAAUUUCCUGUGUAGCGGUGAAAUGCGUAGAUAUAGGAAGGAACACCAGUGGCGAAGGCGACCACCUGGACUGAUACUGACACUGAGGUGCGAAAGCGUGGGGAGCAAA